rnacentral:tRNA from 1 species
GUUGUGGCUCAGUGGUAGUGGACUUGCCUGGCAUUCAUGAGGCACUGGGUUCGAUUCUCAGCACAACA